CUACGGGUCGCUGCAGUGGGGAAUAUUGCACAAUGGGCGCAAGCCUGAUGCAGCCAUGCCGCGUGUAUGAAGAAGGCCUUCGGGUUGUAAAGUACUUUCAGCGGGGAGGAAGGGAGUAAAGUUAAUACCUUUGCUCAUUGACGUUACCCGCAGAAGAAGCACCGGCUAAGUCCGUGCCAGCAGCCGCGGUAAUACGGAGGGUGCAAGCGUUAAUCGGAAUUACUGGGCGUAAAGCGCACGCAAGCGGUUUGUUAAGUCAGAUGUGAAAUCCCCGGGCUCAACCUGGGAACUGCAUCUGAUACUGGCAAGCUUGAGUCUCGUAGAGGGGGGUAGAAUUCCAGGUGUAGCGGUGAAAUGCGUAGAGAUCUGGAGGAAUACCGGUGGCGAAGGCGGCCCCCUGGACGAAGACUGACGCUCAGGUGCGAAAGCGUGGGGAGCAAACAGGAUUAGAUACCCGAGUAGUC
rnacentral:rRNA from 1 species